AGCGACUUGUACUGUGAAACUGCGAAUGGCUCAUUAAAUCAGUUAUGGUUUAUUUGAUGGUACCUUACUACUUGGAUAACCGUAGUAAUUCUAGAGCUAAUACAUGCAGGAGGACCCGACUUCGGGAGGGUUGUAUUUAUUAGAUAAGAAACCAAUCCAGCUUGCUGGUUGCGUGCCGAGUCACAAUAACUGCUCGAAUCGCAUGGCCUUGUGCCGGCGAUGGUUCAUUCAAAUUUCUGCCCUAUCAGCUUUCGAUGGUAGGAUCGAGGCCUACCAUGGCGUUUACGGGUAACGGAGAAUUAGGGUUCGAUUCCGGAGAGGGAGCCUGAGAAAUGGCUACCACAUCCAAGGAAGGCAGCAGGCGCGUAAAUUGCCCGAAUCCUGACACAGGGAGGUAGUGACAAGAAAUAACAAUACAGGGCUAUCUUAGUCUUGUAAUUGGAAUGAGUACAAUUUACAUCUCUUCACGAGGAUCAAUUGGAGGGCAAGUCUGGUGCCAGCAGCCGCGGUAAUUCCAGCUCCAAUAGCGUAUAUUAAAGUUGUUGCAGUUAAAACGCUCGUAGUCGGAUUUCGGGGCGGGCCUGCCGGUCUGCCGAUGGGUAUGCACUGGCAGGCGCGUCCUUCCUGCCGGAGACUGUCCCUACUCUUAACUGAGCGGGGUCGGGAGACGGCUCUUUUACUUUGAAAAAAUCAGAGUGUUUCAAGCAGGCAGCUCGCUCUUGCAUGGAUUAGCAUGGGAUAAUGAAAUAGGACUUUGGUGCUAUUUUGUUGGUUUCGAACACCGAAGUAAUGAUUAACAGGGACAGUCA
rnacentral:rRNA from 1 species